AGAGUUUGAUCCUGGCUCAGGAUGAACGCUGGCGGCGUGCUUAACACAUGCAAGUCGAACGGGAUCCAUCAGGCUUUGCUUGGUGGUGAGAGUGGCGAACGGGUGAGUAAUGCGUGACCGACCUGCCCCAUACACCGGAAUAGCUCCUGGAAACGGGUGGUAAUGCCGGAUGCUCCAGUUGAUCGCAUGGUCUUCUGGGAAAGCUUUCGCGGUAUGGGAUGGGGUCGCGUCCUAUCAGCUUGACGGCGGGGUAACGGCCCACCGUGGCUUCGACGGGUAGCCGGCCUGAGAGGGCGACCGGCCACAUUGGGACUGAGAUACGGCCCAGACUCCUACAGGAGGCAGCAGUGGGGAAUAUUGCACAAUGGGCGCAAGCCUGAUGCAGCGACGCCGCGUGAGGGAUGGAGGCCUUCGGGUUGUAAACCUCUUUUAUCGGAGAGCAAGCGUGAGUGAGUUUACCCGUUGAAUAAGCACCGGCUAACUACGUGCCAGCAGCCGCGGUAAUACGUAGGGUGCAAGCGUUAUCCGGAAUUAUUGGGCGUAAAGGGCUCGUAGGCGGUUCGUCGCGUCCGGUGUGAAAGUCCAUCGCUUAACGGUGGAUCCGCGCCGGGUACGGGCGGGCUUGAGUGCGGUAGGGGAGACUGGAAUUCCCGGUGUAACGGUGGAAUGUGUAGAUAUCGGGAAGAACACCAAUGGCGAAGGCAGGUCUCUGGGCCGUUACUGACGCUGAGGAGCGAAAGUGUGGGGAGCGAACAGGAUUAGAUACCCUGGUAGUCCACGCCGUAAACGGUGGAUGCUGGAUGUGGGGCCCGUUCCACGGGUUCCGUGUCGGAGCUAACGCGUUAAGCAUCCCGCCUGGGGAGUACGGCCGCAAGGCUAA
rnacentral:rRNA from 1 species